rnacentral:ncRNA from 1 species
ACAGUUUUGGUCCUGGGCUUACCGUUCUUUUUUGUCGAGAUUAUACAUGCAAGCCUCAGCACACCAGUGAAAAUGCCCACAAAUCCCAAAAAGAUAAACUGGAGCGGGUAUCAGGCACCACCUUUCGCCCAUAACGCCUUGCUACGCCACACCCUCACGGGUAAUCAGCAGUAAUAAACAUUGGGCCAUAAGUGAAAACUUGACCCAACUACGACAACAAAGGGCUGGUUAAUUUCGUGCCAGCCACCGCGGUUAUACGAAAGGCCCGAAAUAACGGCAAACGGCGUAAAAUGUGACUAGAGAUCCUUAACAUUAAAAAUAUUAAAACCCACCACCCAGUUGUAAAAUACUCAGACAGUGGGGAAAACCAACACAAAUAUUUUUAACUUUAUACUCUUGACCACACGAAAGCUUAGAAACAAACUAGGAUUAGAUACCCUACUAUGCUAAGCCCUAAACAUUGACUAGCCAUUAUACGAAGCUAUCCGCCAGAGAACUACAAGUGAAAAACUUGAAACUCAAAGGACUUGACGGUGUCCCAUAUCGGCCUAGAGGAGCCUGUCCUAUAAUCGAUACCCCCCGUUCCACCCAACCUUAGCUAGCACAUAACAGCCUAUAUACCGCCGUCGAUCAGCCUACCCUAUGAAGGUUUAACAGUAGACACAAAAGUCUUAACCACUAAUACGUCAGGUCAAGGUGUAGCAAAUGCUAAGGAAGAGAUUGGCUACAUUUUUUAUUUUAAAAAAUACGAAAAGCACUAUGAAACCAUGCUUGAAGGUGAAUUUAGUAGUAAAAUAAAUAAGAGAGUUUAUUUUAACAACGCUCUGGGACGCGUACACACCGCCCGUCACCCUCCUCAACAACAACAAACCCCUAAAUAAACCAAAAAAUAAAAACAGAGGAGGUAAGUCGUAACAUGGUAAGCGUACCGGAAGGUGUGCUUGGACUAAC